GCUUAAUCAUUUUUAGUUUUUGAUUUAAAGUGAGAAAUGCAAGUCUCUUCCUUUCACUUGAACACUUGAGCUAUGGUAGGGUUAUAAAUUAAUCGAUCAAAUUUUCAUCUUAUAUAUUAGGGAAUAGGGAGGCCCAAGGAGAGGAAGAGAGAUGAAGGAAUGGUCAGUUGGUGGAGCAGUCAGAACGUACACAUAUUUUUUGCUUAAAUUUGUCUUCUCAUAUAGUUGGGAUUUGUGGCACCCCAAAACAAUUAUUAUGGUAACAUCAAGGAUGACUGAUCACAGAUCACUGUAACAGAUAUAACAGUAAUAAUAAUAAUAAUAAAGCUUGAAAUAUUGUGAGAAUUACCAAAAUGUGACAGAGACACAAAGCAAGCACAUGCUGUUGAAAAAUGGUGCCAACAGAUUUGCUCAACAAAAGAUUGCCACAAACCUUCAAUUUGUAAAACAAAACCAAAAAGAGUAUCUGUGAAGCACAAUACAUUGAAGUGUGAUAAAAAUAAGGUAUACUUGUAUAACACAGCCUCAGCCAAUGUGGCAGUGAACUCUGGACUGAAUAUUGCUUGACUGAUUUGUCUGAGUUGGGUCAAAAUGGUCUGGUCUUCAUCCCUUCAGUGUGUUCAUUCAGUGGAUGUGGGAGAAGGGCAUGAGCUUGGUAGGGUGCCUCUUUGUAACUGAGGCUGACCCCAAAGAGCUAACUCCUGGAUGCUGUCUUCUGAUUAUAAUUCCUGCAGAUGGUCAGCAAGUCUUCUUGAAGGAGGAUCCAAGAAACAUAUUCAUAUAUUCUACAGUCCAAUAUUUGCACUGCUCCGACCCACUUUUUGAUAUAUGUUGUGGGAACGAUGCCUCCAGGAUUCUGGUGGACAUCCCUUUCUGUGGGAAACCUUAGAAAUGGGAAGUUAAUGGGAUAAACCAUAGUCCCUCUGUGACAUUUGGGAUUGACGCUGAAAUGGAUACUUUUUGUCUCACUCCUCUACUGUCCUUUGGUUUCCUUAACUAUGUGUUAUGACCCAGGUCUUUAUCUCCAAAAGAUGUGAGCACUUGGUCAUCAUGCCCUUCUCAGGCUGUGAUUGCUGAAACUGUCCAUUUAUACUCACCAUCAGGCCGGGGAGUACUAAUAGGCACCUCAGGAGAUCACCUGGGUUCUACACAUAUACCCCUAUAUUUCCGUCUUAGGAGCCCUGCCUCCUCCUGAUGAUUAGGGUCAAUCACCUCUGUCAAGAAUGUGAUUGUCUUCUUUUUGGUGCAAGGACACAGUGAGUUUCAGCUUAUAAUUUAUUGGGACUCUUAACUGUGCCCUGGUGACCCACGUGGGCACCAGGACCUUUAAGCUGCAGAGUCCAGACUUGCAGGAGGCAACAAGCACAAAUCACCCCAGUGAGUCACUGUGAAUGGCAGUAAGUGGGAUCACUCCUGUUUCCAGCCCUUGGUUCCUGGACCAAUGUAAAGAUCUGUAGUUCAGUGCAUACAAUUCAUCCUGGGGAAUGGUAUCCUAUUCCUGUAGUAUAUUGCCUCGCAAUAAGUGCUUCAGCUUUAGCUCAGUUGCCCCAUCAGUAGGCAUUUCCAAUGCUUUAUUAGGCUGGCAGCUUCUAGAUUAUGUUAUCUGUUAUACAGCGAGUAUAUACCAUGUUCUUCGGCCCCCUUCCACAACUUCUUCACUGUAAAGUUGUACCUUGGUCUGAUGAUAUUAUAUGGAAACAAUAGACCAGUGGGUCAGAUACACCAAAUAUUCCAAGAUAUCGGUGCUCACUGAGGCUCACUGCCUUACCUCAGCAUGAUAAGGCAAAUUCAUAUCAAGAAUAUGUGUCUAUUACUGUAAGAAUGAACCACUGACCCUUCCAGGAUGCUAAUGACCAAUUAUAGUCAAUUUCCCUCCAAAUGUUCUUCUAGGAAUAAUGCCAGAUUAGGUGAUCAGCUUGGUCUUUAUUGUUUGUUCGCUGAUGGCACGCCUCUGCUGCUCCAGAGGCAUACACUGUGAUUCUUUCUCUGGGGCUUACCACAAACUCCACUUAACAUCUUUUUCUAUCAUAGAUACUUUCAACAUCAUAGGGUCUACUAGAGAGUAUGACCCUAGUGGAAGAUUGUUUGUAUCACAACCUGGUCCUGGUGCAGAGUUCUUUCCUUCUCUCGUUUCCACUCAAAGAUGACAGCAUUAUAUGGUACCAAAUAUAAGGACCAGAGCAGUGGUCCUAGGUAUCAAAUUCGCUGCCUCCAGGAACCAAAGCAAUCCCUAGGCAUUGUCCUUCCUUCUUCAUGGUAGGAAGUGCAGAAAGGAAUAAUUUGGCCUUUCUUUGGAAGGGAUAACCCCGCGUAUUCCUGACUCUUAGAAAACUAAAAAUUUUACUGACACAGCAUGUCCUUGAUCACAAUUUAUUAUUCUUCACAGAACUUAUCUUCCAUCCUCUGAGCUCAUGUGUUUUACCAAAGUCUUCAACGUCAUAACUACCUCUUGUAUAUCUUGUAUACCUGGUUUGAUCAACAUGAUGCCACCAAUGUACUCGAUCAAUGUGAUGUACUGUGGGAUAGCUAGACAGUUUUCUCACUGUGUUAUGACAGAGGGUGGAAGUAUUAUCAUAGCCCUGGGUCCAUAAGACCAAUAACUCACUGUAAGUCAGAGCAUUGCUAAGACUUUAUUACCUGGUCCUCAUAUAUGUUUUCAUUCUAACAGGAAGGUCUUCACAAUGUUCUGAGUACCUUGAUAUUAAUGUCAACUCAGUCCCUGUGUUCAAUAGUCUUGAAAUGGAUAGAUAUUCCCCCCUUCCUUUGCACAGCUAUGUAAGUGGCCUUAGUUCCCUUUGGUGAAGGGCUGGGGGAGUCAUUACUGUUUAUAUAUUUGCAAUGGUGUUAUAGCAUCCUGGUCCCAGGGCUCUGUCCAUGUCAUCAGGGAGUGAGUUCCAGGUUUGAAAGAAGUUCAAGUCCACAAACUGGGAAAGUGAUUAGCUUUUGGGGAGGCAACUGCUUUUUGCUUCCCAGUCAUCUAUGCUUGGCUUCUUCUAUUGGCAUAAAGUAAUAUCCUUAUUGGCUGCCUGACUAUUUUGCCCUUAAGGAUUUUGGAAUCCUUCUACUGCCAUCACCUUAGGUCUUGGCCGCCAUUCUGAUCUUGCCAGUCUUUAUGGCUAUUGCAGCUUCUUAUAUAUUGCCUCCUGACCUCUAGGUGUGAGAGUCAUACUAUCACCACUGCUAGCAGUGAGUAAAGUUCUGUAACACCCCCUCCUACUCUGAGCCCUGGCUUGCAAAAACUCAAUACUGGACCUUCUAGUAAUGCCAGUGCUCCUCUUAUUAGCACAUUUUUUAUGCCUUCGGUAAAUGGUGUAUUUUAUGGACAUUCCUAUGGAACAUUAUCAUCUAAAGGCCCUGUAGAACUUCAGCAUGCCCAUUGCCAUGAAGCUUUUAAUCCCAUAAUCAUUUAUUAUGGCAAUUCUGGCAUUCCAGCUUCACUGUAUGGGCAUUACUUUUUCCAUUGCUUCUAGAAGCCAUCCCAGGAACAAAUUUGCACCAUGCCCUAGGGUCCUUGCCAAGGUGUAAAAUCCUAUAUCUUGGGAGAGUGAGCUUUUUUCUCUUCCUAAUUUUAUGUUUGCUAUUUGAUGAUGCAUCUCAGAAUGAAAUACCUUUUCUCUGAGCAUGCUGAGCACUUUUCCAGUUGAUUAUGCUGUGACUGAAUCUUAGCUUUAUGCCUAGUGGCCAAAAGAGGCAGUGGGGGAAGACUCUGCAAGAUACCCAUUGCCUCAGAGUGGAGUGGCCUCUGCAUUCUCUUUCACUAUUCUGGGAUGAAUCACUCCUGCAGAUGAGUAUAUGGAGCAUGAGUUCAAGGGAUCCAGUCAGAUGUUCCCAUCCUGUGUGUCAGAGUCUCAAGUUUUUUCCACCAAGGUCCUGAUUACAGCGCUCUCUUGAUUGGGCAUUUAACUUUUUUUUUUUAGGUUCAGCUACUUGGAUUUCUUUCUCCUCCCCUGGAAGGAAAUGAGAGCCACUUUGUAUGCAGUCAGAAAGGAUACUGACAUUCAUGCCUGGAUUUUAAUUGCCUGUUGCUCACCAUCAGCUGUUCAUUAUUCAAAAGGGAGAUUUUCCUGAGUAGGUCUGACCUACCAGAUGAGCCCUUUUAAGAAGGGUCUGGAGGUAAGAUUUAAAGCUGCAGACACUUCUUUUCCUAGCUUUGAAGAAGCUAUGAGUUCUACAACUGCCAGAAAAUGAAACCUGCGACAUCCUGAAUGAGCUUGGAAGAAGAUGUUUUCUUUGAUGAGAAAUACAACUCAGCUAGUCCCUUGAUUGUAGCUUUGUGGGACCCUGAGCCAAAGACCUAGCUAAGCCUGUCCAACUCCUCACAAAUAAAAACUGUGAGAUAAUAAAUGUAUGUUGCUUAAGAUGCUAA